GACGAACGCUGGCGGCGUGCUUAACACAUGCAAGUCGAACGGUGAAGCCCCUUCGGGGGUGGAUCAGUGGCGAACGGGUGAGUAACACGUGAGCAACCUGCCCCUGACUCUGGGAUAACUUCGGGAAACCGGAGCUAAUACUGGAUAUGACGCUCUCACGCAUGUGGGGGUGUGGAAAGUUUUUCGGGUGGGGAUGGGCUCGCGGCCUAUCAGCUUGUUGGGGGGGUGAUGGCCUACCAAGGCGACGACGGGUAGCCGGCCUGAGAGGGCGACCGGCCACACUGGGACGGGGACACGGACCAGACUCCUACGGGGGGCAGCAGUGGGAAAUAUUGCGCAAUGGGCGAAAGCCUGACGCAGCGACGCCGCGUGAGGGAUGAAGGCCUUCGGGUUGUAAACCUCUUUCAGCGCCGAAGAAGCGUAAGUGACGGUAGGCGCAGAAGAAGCACCGGCUAACUACGUGCCAGCAGCCGCGGUAACAC
rnacentral:rRNA from 1 species